UGCCCCGCUUUGGCGUGGUUCCACCCCAGCCACCACUUCACAAACCCUGCCCUUUUUCCCCUCGACCCCCAUAGCGCAGCGCAGCACCACUCCCACCUCCCUCGUCAGCCGCCACCGGGUCAUCUCGCUGGUGUGGAGGAGUAGCGGAUCCGGCAGCAUCCGAGGCGUGUGGGCAUGGCGACGGGCAUCUCUGGCAGCGGCGGCGACCUGCAGGCAAAAGACAAUGGCCGGGGCACUCGAUUCGAUCUAGUGCCAUGGACCGGUCCCUGCAAGAGAAAAGAUGAGGGAGAGAGAGAGAGAAAGGAGGGAGAGGAGGAAGAAACAGAGAGGAAAGAGGAGAGGGAGGUGUGACGGUGGAUGGGAGAGGGUCUCCGGCCGGCGCCGCACAUUCACAUCUCUCCUCCUCUCCUGCUCUCGAGCACCACCGUGGCCCUCUUCCUCCCCUUCGAUUCUCCAUCUCCUCUUCUCUGGAGCUAGCUGAGUGGUCAACGAUGAGGAAGACAGAGCCACCGAUGCCGACCGGCCAAUUCCGUCGGGCGCUGUCAUGGGAGGAGGCGCACCAGAGUAGCAGCACGGGAGGAGAUGAAGGUCGAGGAAGAGGGCAAAGACGCGCGGUUGGAAGAGGAAUAUGCCUGUGGUCACCGCCUUCCGAGACGAUGGGACCGGGCAAUUCAGAUUUCUCUCGUUCCUUGCCUCGAUGACAUGCUCUACUUCUUCAGCUUGCAGGGAUAUGAGGAGAGAACUCUAUUGUUGGCAGUGAUUGCAUCAUUUCCACAAGUGGGACAUGAGGAGAGAUCUCUAUUGUUGGCAUGGGCUGCAUCAUUAUCUUUGCUAUGUGGACUCAUGGCAUGAUCUAUACCUAAGGCUGAAGAUUCUGAAUUAGGAGGGAGCAGCAGGUAGAAGAAAUCCAAAGCCAAUUUUGCUCAGCUAUAGUGUCUUCCAUUGACAAUAAAUCUGCACAGCAGCCUGAUGUGGUUAGUUCUUGCAAUUAAAAACACAAAUCUUUCAGUUGCUCUCCAUUCGCUGGUAAAAAAAUAGUGAUUUUCCUUUAUAAAUACCCAACUGUAGAAUACCUUAGUUAAAUCAAUCAAUAGUGAGUUAUAUUACUAGAGACAUACUUAAUAAUGCCCUUAGGUGUGACACUCUACAUGGUUACCUUCUUUAGUCCCAGUUAUUUAUAUCAUACUGAGAUAACACUCUUCCAAGCGGAAUGUUUGUUUUUAUAUACUUAUAGAUGCUAAUUUACCGUUCUUGAUUUUGGCUGGGAUAUUCCUUCAUUUGCUUGGUUGGCUGUCAAUGCUCACCAAUUUCUGAAUAUCUCCCAUGGCCAAAUUUAGUCCAACAUUUCCAGUAUGUAUCUUCUUCUGCUAUCAAUGUUAAUUCUGCCAUAAGCAUAGUACUCUCCUAGCAUUUGUUUCUUUCGUUGAAAAACAGAGACACUUGUUCAGUUCGGUUUUUUACUACACAGAAAAAGAUAAGUUCAAUUUGGUUUCUAAUGUUCAUGUCGGCCUUUGCCUAAGCAAAAAAAGGUAACCACUUUAUAUUGUAAUCUGGUUUUUAGUUUGUCUUUGAUUCGACCUUUUCUUUGUGUGUGUUGUCUAACUGUUAGAUUGUCUGGGACAUCUUAGAACAACCUUUCAUAUCCCUGAUAUUAUUUUGCUUUAUCUGCCACCGUGAAUUCCUAGAGUUCCUUUCUCUCCUUCCAAUUGAUAUUCUUAGAUGUGACUCUAUUAGAAAUUUUGUGCCACGACAGAAGUAAUGGUUGAUUGCUCUGGUUUAGCCUUUAUGUCAGUUGUUGCUGAGGGUCCAGUUUCUCAUUUUUCAGAUUUUGUAGUAGCAGGGAUGUGUAUAAUAUGGAUAACUGAACUAGUCUUUAGGGGUUUCAGUGCAAGACUGCUACAAGCUUGAUUAGUUAGAUCAACUGGUGUUUAGAGAUUUCAGUGCGGAGUGAUGUUUCAGUUUCGAUUGCAGGGCUUCGAGAUGCACCAUGAGGAUUGAAAUGAGUCUUAUACAAGGCUGCUAAAUUAUUAUGCUUUUGGUCUUUCCUGAAUUUAUUUAGCAUAAAUACUUCCAGAAUACCUCUUAUAAUAUGGAAGCAUGUUGGUAACAACGCUGAUUUUGCCAGUUUGUGGAACAUGCUUCAUUUUUGCAGGUAAAAGAAGGAAAAGAGAACAUUGGAGAAAAAGGCAGCAAGACAUAUUCUCUAAGCUUUCUCAAAUGUUUGAACAAUUAGAAGAUAGUUACAAUCAUUUUUCUCUUGCCUUAUUACAUCUUGAUGUUAAUAGGCUUUGGAAGGUACGAUGCACCCUGUUCAAGGUUUACAUAAUUUGCACCAUCCUAUUACAGUUUGUUCUAUUGACAUAAUUGACCAGUUUUUCCUUGAGUAAAUUAAUAUUGUAGUUGCUACUCCUUUGUGCAUUGUUACAUAGAGUUAUAAUUGUGCAUAUAAUUCCCACGAUCCUAUUACAGUUUGUUCUAACGGCAAAAUUGAGCAGCUCUUACUUGAGUAAAUUGUGCAGCACUUCCUUGAGUAAAUUAGUAUUGUAGUUACUAAGCCUUUGUGCACUCUGAUACAACUCUACUGAAAUACUACUUUCUUAUGCCCAUUUUAAACCGAGACCUGACUUUACAUCAUUUCUAUUAUCAUCCAGUCUCCUGAAUUUUAGUCCGCUCCAGCAAUGCUAUGGCUUGACACUCCAUGUAUGUAUGAAAAAAUGACCGCAAUUUCGUUGUUGUGAUUUGGUCAAUCCUCGGCGUUUCGAUUCCUAUUAAUCUCUUUGUUUGGCAACUGAUGCCACCUGAAGGGCUGCCAGACCAAGACAACAUCGGUAAUAUCCUUCGCAUAUUUGGAAGGCGUGGAACAAUGUCAUUUCAACUUCGUCGGGUGCUGGCCCAAGGAUAUUAUUUGUUGCUGAUGUUUUUUUUCGAAACAAGGCAAAAGACUUGUCAUUUUCAUUUAUUAAGAAGAUAGUGAGAAUUGUCCGGUUAAUUGAGGAAAACCGGGCUAAAACUAAUACAACUCAACCCACAAACAUGGAUACCACUGGCCACAUGCUAACAGAUGGCUACACAUGCGAACAAUUGACCACUCCGACUUUGAAGACGAGCUUUGCAAGGGAAAUAUGCAGGGCUUGCAUUGAUCAUGCCAUUCACAAAUGACCACCGAGUGUCUGUCAUCAUCACCACCUAGACUCACUCAGAAAUCAACGGCCCCGAAACAGCCGCCUCAGCAAACCACAGGCUGCCUCAGCAAACCACAUCGUUCACAUGGAUUCUAGACAACUUUGUUGCUGAUGUGAAUAUCUCUAGAUGUGAUGUCCAUCGUUCACAUCUUAUAGAAUAUAUAUAACUUUGUGCUACCAAAUUAGAAUUUGUAUAUACAUCUCAUUAUAGACAACAAAAUACCAUUUUUUCCUAGUAAAGAGGAUUAUAUUUGUUA